rnacentral:tRNA from 1 species
GGACCCGUGGUGUAGCCUGGUCUAACACGUUUCCCUGUCAAGGAAAAGAUCGCCGGUUCGAAUCCGGUCGGGUCCG